CCUCGGUCAAGCCAAACCUAGAAGCCAGAGGGCAAGGGAGUCCAUAGUACCAUCUGCAUGGGUCAGCUUCCUAGGCAGAGAGUAAAGGAAGAUGGAGAGUGGAGCUGGAGGGGCAAGCAGAAAAGAUCUGGAACAAACAAUGUGCUCAGAAAAGAAAGGACAAGAGGAUCCCACAUGGACUUGCAGAUAUAAUACAGAAGCUUCCAACCAGAAUGGCAUGGGCUCCCUAUAAAGAGUCAAGAGGCCUGGACCCUUGACCCUGCUGUGCCACACAGAAGCUGGACACCUGAAGAGUGACGCCAGGCAAGCCAUUUCAUUUUACCUCUGCAUUCAGGGACAUCGUGUUGGUAGCUUGAAGACAGCCAUGCUGGGAAUAGUUACACCAUGGGAACUGCCAAACAGUACACAACAGCCUAAAAUGCCAACAUAAAGCCUUCCAACUGGGACAGGAG